rnacentral:rRNA from 1 species
AUUGAACGCUGGCGGCAUGCCUUACACAUGCAAGUCGAACGGCAGCACGGGUUCUUGCACCUGGUGGCGAGUGGCGCACGGGUGAGUAAUACAUCGGAACAUGUCCUGUAGUGGGGGAUAGCCCGGCGAAAGCCGGAUUAAUACCGCAUACGAUCCACGGAUGAAAGCGGGGGACCUUCUGGCCUCGCGCUAUAGGGUUGGCCGAUGGCUGAUUAGCUAGUUGGUGGGGUAAAGGCCUACCAAGGCGACGAUCAGUAGCUGGUCUGAGAGGACGACCAGCCACACUGGGACUGAGACACGGCCCAGACUCCUACGGGAGGCAGCAGUGGGGAAUUUUGGACAAUGGGCGAAAGCCUGAUCCAGCAAUGCCGCGUGUGUGAAGAAGGCCUUCGGGUUGUAAAGCACUUUUGUCCGGAAAGAAAUCCUUGACUCUAAUACAGUCGGGGGAUGACGGUACCGGAAGAAUAAGCACCGGCUAACUACGUG